rnacentral:rRNA from 1 species
AGAGUUUGAUCCUGGCUCAGGAUGAACGCUGGCGGUAUGCCUUACACAUGCAAGUCAAACGAGAGUUUUUAACUCAAGUGGCGGACGGGUGAGUAACACGUGAGAAUUUGCCUUUAGGAGGGGGAUAACAGCUGGAAACGGCUGCUAAUACCCCAUAUGCUUUCGAGUGAAAUGGAGUAAUCCGCCUAAAGAGAAGCUCGCGGCUGAUUAGCUUGUUGGUAAGGUAAUGGCUUACCAAGGCGACGAUCAGUAUCUGGUUUGAGAGGACGAUCAGACACACUGGAACUGAGACACGGUCCAGACUCCUACGGGAGGCAGCAGUGGGGAAUUUUCCGCAAUGGGCGAAAGCCUGACGGAGCAAUACCGCGUGAGGGAAGACGGCCUAUGGGUUGUAAACCUCUUUUUUCAGGGAGGAAUAACUGA